rnacentral:tRNA from 2 species
GGGGAUGUAGCUCAGUGGUAGAGCGUCCGCUUUGCAUGCGGAAUGCCCGGGGUUCGAACCCCGCAUCUCCA